CCCAUUUAAUCAGCAUCAUUAAUAAACCACUAUUGAUAGCAUUCGAGGAAUCUUUAAUUCAAAACCUCAGAUUCAUUACUAAUUAGCACAUUCAAUUACUUAUGGAGCUCUUUAAAAUGAAAGAAAGGUAUUGCUGCAAAAAUAAAUUCCGUAUAGAUGUUGUGCCAUUGAAUCAAUUAGUUCCCCAGAAUUGCAAGUCUGACAAUCGAGACGUGAACUAGAACAAUAUGAACCAAGGAAAAUUGACACUCUAAAUCAAAUGAAAUAUACGGUACAGGCAUAUUUAAUUCAUUAGCAAUCUACUUUCAAAACUUCAAGUGAACGAAAAGCACUGAUCAAUGACUCAAAUUAGCUGGAACAUGAAAAAUUAACUGACUUAUGGAUUCCUCAAAGUUUGGAACUAAAGCAGGUGAAAUAAUUCAAACAGAACUAAACCAAUUUCAAACUCCUACUUUCAAAGACCCUUUUGGAAGGAGUCCAGUUACAUUCACCGAAGUCCUAGUUCAUUAAGUUUCAAAUGUUGCUAUUCUAAAAUGUAAUCCAAUUCAAACACUCAAAUCAGCCUUUCAUUUCAAAUAAAAAGCUUCGAUUACAAGUUUCCUUAGCUGGCCAUUGGAGAUUAAGCAAGUACCUGGCAAUUAAGCAAAGUAGAAGGAAGGAGGAGCCAGCAGUGAGCAGCCAACAAUUAGAAGUUAAAACCCAGCAGCAACAUAAGAGUAAGAUCAGUUUGAAAGCCAAAGUUGCAUCACUACAGCCCAGGAGCGAAUGACAGAUGAAGAAAACACCAGCGGAAACCAACCAGAUCCAAAUAGAUACUACCCAAAUCACUUGAAAAUUAACCGGGAUUUCUCCAAAUCACUGAGCCACCAAAACUUAAACAUGAAAAUGCAUUGCCAUUACUGAAAACUCCAAAAAUAGCCUACUAACUCAAUGGAACAGAGCUCUUUUUGAUUUCUUACUGUAUUUUUGUUCUUGUUUUUGGAUUUGAGCCAGUUUCUUUUUUUUUU
rnacentral:lncRNA from 1 species